GUCCACGCCGUAACGAUGAUUGCUAGUUGUCGGGAAGCUUGCUUCUCGGUGACGCAGCUAACGCAUUAAGCAAUCCGCCUGGGGAGUACGGUCGCAAGAUUAAACUCAAAGGAAUUGACGGGGCCCGCACAAGCGGUGGAGCAUGUGGUUUAAUUCGAAGCAACGCGCAGAACCUUACCACCUUUUGACAUGCCUGGACCGCCAGAGAGAUCUGGCUUUCCCUUCGGGGACUAGGACACAGGUGCUGCAUGACUGUCGU
rnacentral:rRNA from 1 species